CGUGUUGCCACAUGUCAGCACGCCCCUGGUGCUGACUCAGCACGCCCCCACGUGCUGCCAGGUGGCCUCCACGCCCCCGGCGUGCUGCAUAUACCACGCCCCCGCGUGCUGCCAGGUGGCCUCCACGCCCCCAGCGUGCUGCAUAUACCACGCCCCCGGCGUGCUGCAUAUACCACGCCCCCGCGUGCUGCCAGGUGGCCUCCACGCCUCCACGCCCCCGGCGUGCUGCAUAUACCACGCCCCCGGCGUGUUGAACUCUGAACUCGACACAACUCAAGUUCCUUCCUUUCCUUCGUUUUCGAGUUCCUCUGCUCUCAUUCUCUGAACCCUUUUCCUGUUCCCUCAGUUGGAGAAAGAAAACACGAAAAUCCCCUUUUUCCACAUCACAAAGGCAUUAAUGAAUGAGUAAGAAGCUGUAACCCUCACUUGCAGGACUAAAAUUCCAUCAACAUUUAACACUUCCACCUAACAGUAAGACUCAUUUCUCAAUUAUGCAUGUUCAUUUUUUCUCCGAGAUUGGGAAUAACUAUGUAUGCUUUUGCCAUGAACCAGGUCAGUGGUUUUGAUUAGGGCUAAUACUUCUUUCUGACUACUCAUUCCUGUUUUUAUGAUUAUGAUUCAUUUUUGAAAGGAUUUUUAGAAUAAAAAACAUCAAUUCAAUUUGUGAGUAACUUGUAUGAUUCUGCUGGCUGUAACAUUGUCAAGUUUUUUUUUUUUUAAAUAUUGGUUAUGUUUUUGCUAGGAGUAUGUGCAUUGAAUUGCAUGAUGGAGAUUUUCUCCAAUGUUGUGUCUGAGAAUUUGCUACUACGGUAGUUAUUUUUCUUUGGACCAUGCUUGAUUGAGUGAUUUCCUUGGACUUGUAUUGUAUGCAUUUGAUUCCCAGUUGUGAAGCAAAAGAAGACUUUUAUAAUAUUGUUGUCUUAUGCAAUAAUUAUGAUUCAUGCUCUUCGAUUAGGUUUGCAUAUUUAUUGAUGAUAUAUGGUGUGUGAUAAAUGCAUGAAAUUGAACAAAUCGAAAUAGUGCUUGAAGUAUAUAUUGGGCAUGUUUGUCUAAGAUCCUAGGAGAAGUACUUCUUUGUUAGUAGUGGUAGAAACAAAGCUUGUUGUGUUUAGAUAUAAUGGUUGAAGUACAUUUUAUUAGAAGUGUUAAAUUAUUUGGGUGAGAAACUUAAGAAGUACUUUUCUUGAAUUAUUUGGAAAAGGGUAACUAUUGUUGCAGUAUGUUGGCAACACAAGCAAGGCUUUUGCAGGCUUUUGAAGUUUAGAAAAUUGGCCUUCAUGAAAGAUACAAAUGAUGAUGUAUGUUGGGCCUUAAACUAUCAAGAUAGUGAGACCAAAGGCACGGAAGAGAACAAUGGAAACCAAUCAUGAAAUGAGGAUGAGUUCCGAUCUCUUGUUCAUGAUUCAGAAGAGAAUGGAAGUUUAUCUUUUGUCGAACAAGAACUAAGAAAUCAUGUUAAGAAGGAAAUUCAUGCAAUUGGCAAGGAAACUGAUUGUAAGGCUUUGAGGAGGUUUUUUACAAAAAUGCGAGAGCAAGAACAGAAUUUUUUCUAUGAUAUAGACUUUGAUGAUAAUUUUCAAGUGAAAAAUGUAUUUUGGCUGGAUGUAAAAAGUACUAAUCAUCAUGGACAAUCUGUUUUAUUUGGCUGUGGUCUACUUUCAACUUACAACGUCGAGGCCUUUGUGUGAUUGUUUCAAUCUUGGCUUCAUUGCAUGUCGGGGAAUCCUCCUAAGGGUAUUGUUACUGACCAAUGCACAUCAAUUCAAGAUGCAACCGAGUUAGUCUUUCCAACAACCCGGCAUAGGUAGUGUUUAUUGCAUAUCAUGAAAAAAGUACCUGAAAAGUUGAAUUUUUUGGCUAAACAUAAUAUGCUAGAAGAUUCAAUGAAGAGGGUAACUCAUGACACUGUGACAAGGUGAAUUUGAAGACCAGUGAAAUCAGUUCAUCAGAGAAUUCAAUCUACAAGACAAUCAAUGGUUGAGUGAGCUGUACAAUGAGCGACAUAGAUGGUCCCAAGCUUCUUGAAGAAUGAUUUUUGGGCAGGAAUGUCUACUACUCAAAGAAGUGAGACCAAACGUGCUUUCUUUGAUGGAUAUAUUGACUCCACUACUUCUUUGCGACAAUUUCUUGAGCUGUAUGAUAAGUUCCUCCAUGACAAGGCAGAAGAAGAAUUUGAAGCAGAUUUCCGGUCAUUUAACACUCUGAUAUCUUGGUUGUUUCUCUCACAAAUGAAAAUGGAGGUGCAUGGAAAGAAAGAAAAUGGUUUCCAUUUUGGCCUUCUUUCUUAUGAGUUGGAACUGUACCUUAUUGAUGUUGCACAAUGCAUUAGAUGAUGUAUGUAUAGGUAUAUUGGUAUGUGAUUAUCACUUCUCUAAAUAAUUUAAUUUCUGAAUCCAAAUAUUCCCCCACUUCUGCUUUCAA